UACUACGACGUGUCAAGCAAAAGCCAAAGACUAUACCGGAAGUCGUAUAUCCGGCAGCUCGACGGGAAAUGUCUUCGGAUCCGAAAUCGACGGAAAGCCAAAGACCAUACCGGAAGUCGUAUAUGCUCGACCAGAAAUGUCGUCGGAUCCGAAGUCGACGGAAAGGUAAUUUUUCUUAUUUUCUUAUGUUUAUUGUGGCCGCGAUGUUAGCCGACAGCGAUAGCUCCUUCCGUAAUUGUUAUAUUUACGCUCGUCCAAAGACUAUACCGGAAGUCGUAUAUCCGGCAGCUCGACGGGAAAUGUCUUCGGAUCCGAAAUCGACGGAAAGCCAAAGAC
rnacentral:lncRNA from 1 species